rnacentral:ncRNA from 1 species
CAACUUGACAAAACACAGGACUCUGCAAAGUGGUAACACGAUGUAUAGAGUCUGACACCUGCCCAGUGCUGGAAAGUUAAAAGGAGAAGUGUUAUAAGUUUUGAAUGAAAGCCCCGGUGGACCACGGUCGUAACUAUAACGGUCCUAAAAGUAAUGGAAAUUCUUUGUAGGUAAGUUUCGACUCGCACAAAAAGCGUAAUGA